rnacentral:rRNA from 1 species
AGUGAACGCUGGCGGUAGGCCUAACACAUGCAAGUCGAACGGCAGCACAGUAAGAGCUUGCUCUUACGGGUGGCGAGUGGCGGACGGGUGAGGAAUACAUCGGAAUCUACUUUUUCGUGGGGGAUAACGUAGGGAAACUUACGCUAAUACCGCAUACGACCUACGGGUGAAAGCAGGGGAUCUUCGGACCUUGCGCGUUUGAAUGAGCCGAUGUCGGAUUAGCUAGUUGGCGAGGUAAGGGCCCACCAAGGCGACGAUCCGUAGCAGGUCUGAGAGGAUGAUCAGCCACACUGGAACUGAGACACGGUCCAGACUCCUACGGGAGGCAGCAGUAGGGAAUAUUGGACAAUGGGCGCAAGCCUGAUCCAGCCAUACCGCGUGGGUGAAGAAGGCCUUCGGGUUGUAAAGCCCUUUUGUUGGGAAAGAACAGCAGCAGGUUAAUACCCCGAUGUUCUGACGGUACCCAAAGAAUAAGCACCGGCUAACUUCGUG